rfam:Dictyocaulus viviparus strain HannoverDv2000 D_viviparus-1.0_Cont292.2, whole genome shotgun sequence.
GAAAUCAUACUAUACAGAAUCAUUUCUGCAGUGUGUAUUUCACAGUACCAACUAUACAGCAACACCUAGAAGCCGCGAUGAACGGUUGAAGGGCGAGUUGCGAGCGGGAAGAACGCGCUUCAGCGCUGAUGACCGCGGUUUGGCAGCGAUGCUGAGCCAGUGACUUGCUCAUCUGAGCGGU